rnacentral:rRNA from 1 species
CCUACGGGAGGCAGCAGUGGGGAAUAUUGGACAAUGGGCGAAAGCCUGAUCCAGCCAUGCCGCGUGUGUGAAGAAGGCCUUCGGGUUGUAAAGCACUUUCAGUGGGGAAGAAAGCCUUGGGGCUAAUACCCUCGAGGAAGGACAUCACCCACAGAAGAAGCACCGGCUAACUCCGUGCCAGCAGCCGCGGUAAUACGGAGGGUGCGAGCGUUAAUCGGAAUUACUGGGCGUAAAGCGCGCGUAGGCGGUCUGAUAAGCCGGUUGUGAAAGCCCCGGGCUCAACCUGGGAACGGCAUCCGGAACUGUCAGGCUAGAGUGCAGGAGAGGAAGGUAGAAUUCCCGGUGUAGCGGUGAAAUGCGUAGAGAUCGGGAGGAAUACCAGUGGCGAAGGCGGCCCUCUGGACUGACACUGACGCUGAGGUGCGAAAGCGUGGGUAGCAAACAGGAUUAGAUACCCGAGUAGUC